rnacentral:lncRNA from 1 species
GGCUGCUCCAGCGCGGCGUCUCUUCCCGCCCCGCUUCCCCUUCCCUCCCCUCCCCUCCCCGCACCGCGCGCUAGCCCGGGGCGGCUCCGCAGCCCGCCGGGAGCUCUGACCGAGGCGCCUCGCUGGGGCGGGGACCUUGCCUUGCCCGGGGCCAUUUCAUAAUUCUGAAUCAUGUCUGAUAACGGAGAACUGGAAGAUAAGCCUCCAGCACCUCCUGUGCGAAUGAGCAGCACCAUCUUUAGCACUGGAGGCAAAGACCCUUUGUCAGCCAAUCACAGUUUGAAACCUUUGCCCUCUGUUCCAGAAGAGAAAAAGCCCAGGCAUAAAAUCAUCUCCAUAUUCUCAGGCACAGAGAAAGG